GUGAGGAAUAUUGGACAAUGGGGGCAACCCUGAUCCAGCAAUGCCGCGUGUGUGAAGAAGGUCUUCGGAUCGUAAAGCACUUUCGACGAGGACGAUGAUGACGGUACCCGUAGAAGAAGCCCCGGCUAACUUCGUGCCAGCAGCCGCGGUAAUACGAAGGGGGCUAGCGUUGCUCGGAAUUACUGGGCGUAAAGGGCGCGUAGGCGGCUCUGUUAGUCAGGCGUGAAAUUCCUGGGCUUAACCUGGGGACUGCGCUUGAUACUGCGGAGCUUGAGGCCGAGAGAGGGUGGUGGAAUUCCCAGUGUAGAGGUGAAAUUCGUAGAUAUUGGGAAGAACACCGGUGGCGAAGGCGACCACCUGGCUCGGUACUGACGCUGAGGCGCGACAGCGUGGGGAGCAAACAGGAUUAGAAACCCGAGUAGUCC
rnacentral:rRNA from 1 species